GGUGCUGCAUGGCGUGUCGUCAGCUCGUGUCGUGAGAUGUUCGGGUUAAGUCCCGCAACGAGCGCAACCCUUGCCUUAGUUGCCAGCAGUUCGGCUGGGCACUCUAAAGGGACUGCCGGUGUUAAACCGGAGGAAGGUGGGGAUGACGUCAAGUCCUCAUGGCCUUUAUGACCAGGGCUACACACGUACUACAAUGGCCGAUACAAAGGGCAGCGACACUGCGAGGUGAAGCCAAUCCCGUAAAAUCGGUCUCAGUCCGGAUUGGAGUCUGCAACUCGACUCCAUGAAGUUGGAAUCGCUAGUAAUCGUGGAUCAGCAUGCCACGGUGAAUACGUUCCCGGGCCUU
rnacentral:rRNA from 1 species